CUCGCCAUAGUUCAAUGGAUAGAACGAGUGCCUCCUAAGUGCUAGAUGCAGGUUCGAUUCCUGCUGGCGGGACCA
rnacentral:tRNA from 3 species